rnacentral:rRNA from 1 species
AGUGAACGCUGGCGGUAGGCCUAACACAUGCAAGUCGAACGGCAGCACAGAGGAGCUUGCUCCUUGGGUGGCGAGUGGCGGACGGGUGAGGAAUACAUCGGAAUCUACUCUGUCGUGGGGGAUAACGUAGGGAAACUUACGCUAAUACCGCAUACGACCUACGGGUGAAAGCAGGGGACCUUCGGGCCUUGCGCGAUUGAAUGAGCCGAUGUCGGAUUAGCUAGUUGGCGGGGUAAAGGCCCACCAAGGCGACGAUCCGUAGCUGGUCUGAGAGGAUGAUCGGCCACACUGUAACUGAGACAAGGUCCAGGCUCCUACGUGAGGCAGCAGUAGGGAAUAUUGGACAAUGGGCGCAAGCCUGAUCCAGCCAUACCGAGUGGGUGAAGAAGGCCGUCGGGCUGUAAAGCCCUUUUGUUGGGAAAGAAAUCCAGCUGGCUAAUACCCGGUUGGGAUGACGGUACCCAAAGAAUAAGCACCGGCUAACUUCGUGCCAGCCGCCGCAGUAA